AGCUUGAUGAGUAGGGCGGGACACGUGGUAUCCUGUCUGAAUAUGGGGGGACCAUCCUCCAAGGCUAAAUACUCCUGACUGACCGAUAGUGAACCAGUACCGUGAGGGAAAGGCGAAAAGAACCCCGGCGAGGGGAGUGAAAAAGAACCUGAAACCGUGUACGUACAAGCAGUGGGAGCACGCUUAGGCGUGUGACUGCGUACCUUUUGUAUAAUGGGUCAGCGACUUAUAUUCUGUAGCAAGGUUAACCGAAUAGGGGAGCCGAAGGGAAACCGAGUCUUAACUGGGCGUUAAGUUGCAGGGUAUAGACCCGAAACCCGGUGAUCUAGCCAUGGGCAGGUUGAAGGUUGGGUAACACUAACUGGAGGACCGAACCGACUAAUGUUGAAAAAUUAGCGGAUGACUUGUGGCUGGGGGUGAAAGGCCAAUCAAACCGGGAGAUAGCUGGUUCUCCCCGAAAGCUAUUUAGGUAGCGCCUCGUGAAUUCAUCUCCGGGGGUAGAGCACUGUUUCGGCAAGGGGGUCAUCCCGACUUACCAACCCGAUGCAAACUGCGAAUACCGGAGAAUGUUAUCACGGGAGACACACGGCGGGUGCUAACGUCCGUCGUGAAGAGGGAAACAACCCAGACCGCCAGCUAAGGUCCCAAAGUCAUGGUUAAGUGGGAAACGAUGUGGGAAGGCCCAGACAGCCAGGAUGUUGGCUUAGAAGCAGCCAUCAUUUAAAGAAAGCGUAAUAGCUCACUGGUCGAGUCGGCCUGCGCGGAAGAUGUAACGGGGCUAAACCAUGCACCGAAGCUGCGGCAGCGACGCUUAUGCGUUGUUGGGUAGGGGAGCGUUCUGUAAGCCUGCGAAGGUGUGCUGUGAGGCAUGCUGGAGGUAUCAGAAGUGCGAAUGCUGACAUAAGUAACGAUAAAGCGGGUGAAAAGCCCGCUCGCCGGAAGACCAAGGGUUCCUGUCCAACGUUAAUCGGGGCAGGGUGAGUCGACCCCUAAGGCGAGGCCGAAAGGCGUAGUCGAUGGGAAACAGGUUAAUAUUCCUGUACUUGGUGUUACUGCGAAGGGGGGACGGAGAAGGCUAUGUUGGCCGGGCGACGGUUGUCCCGGUUUAAGCGUGUAGGCUGGUUUUCCAGGCAAAUCCGGAAAAUCAAGGCUGAGGCGUGAUGACGAGGCACUACGGUGCUGAAGCAACAAAUGCCCUGCUUCCAGGAAAAGCCUCUAAGCAUCAGGUAACAUCAAAUCGUACCCCAAACCGACACAGGUGGUCAGGUAGAGAAUACCAAGGCGCUUGAGAGAACUCGGGUGAAGGAACUAGGCAAAAUGGUGCCGUAACUUCGGGAGAAGGCACGCUGAUAUGUAGGUGAAGUCCCUUGCGGAUGGAGCUGAAAUCAGUCGAAGAUACCAGCUGGCUGCAACUGUUUAUUAAAAACACAGCACUGUGCAAACACGAAAGUGGACGUAUACGGUGUGACGCCUGCCCGGUGCCGGAAGGUUAAUUGAUGGGGUCAGCGCAAGCGAAGCUCUUGAUCGAAGCCCCGGUAAACGGCGGCCGUAACUAUAACGGUCCUAAGGUAGCGAAAUUCCUUGUCGGGUAAGUUCCGACCUGCACGAAUGGCGUAAUGAUGGCCAGGCUGUCUCCACCCGAGACUCAGUGAAAUUGAACUCGCUGUGAAGAUGCAGUGUACCCGCGGCAAGACGGAAAGACCCCGUGAACCUUUACUAUAGCUUGACACUGAACAUUGAGCCUUGAUGUGUAGGAUAGGUGGGAGGCUUUGAAGUGUGGACGCCAGUCUGCAUGGAGCCGGCCUUGAAAUACCACCCUUUAAUGUUUGAUGUUCUAACGUGGACCCGUGAUCCGGGUUGCGGACAGUGUCUGGUGGGUAGUUUGACUGGGGCGGUCUCCUCCUAAAGAGUAACGGAGGAGCACGAAGGUUGGCUAAUCCUGGUCGGACAUCAGGAGGUUAGUGCAAUGGCAUAAGCCAGCUUGACUGCGAGCGUGACGGCGCGAGCAGGUGCGAAAGCAGGUCAUAGUGAUCCGGUGGUUCUGAAUGGAAGGGCCAUCGCUCAACGGAUAAAAGGUACUCCGGGGAUAACAGGCUGAUACCGCCCAAGAGUUCAUAUCGACGGCGGUGUUUGGCACCUCGAUGUCGGCUCAUCACAUCCUGGGGCUGAAGUAGGUCCCAAGGGUAUGGCUGUUCGCCAUUUAAAGUGGUACGCGAGCUGGGUUUAGAACGUCGUGAGACAGUUCGGUCCCUAUCUGCCGUGGGCGCUGGAGAACUGAGGGGGGCUGCUCCUAGUACGAGAGGACCGGAGUGGACGCAUCACUGGUGUUCGGGUUGUCAUGCCAAUGGCACUGCCCGGUAGCUAAAUGCGGAAGAGAUAAGUGCUGAAAGCAUCUAAGCACGAAACUUGCCCCGAGAUGAGUUCUCCCUGACCCUUUAAGGGUCCUGAAGGAACGUUGAAGACGACGACGUUGAUAGGCCGGGUGUGUAAGCGCAGCGAUGCGUUGAGCUAACCGGUACUAAUGAACCGUGAGG
rnacentral:rRNA from 1 species